rnacentral:rRNA from 1 species
UACGUAGGGGGCUAGCGUUGUCCGGAAUCAUUGGGCGUAAAGCGCGUGUAGGCGGUUUGCUAAGUUGAAUGUGAAAACUCUGGGCUUAACCCAGAGCCUGCAUUCAAUACUGGCAGGCUAGAGUUCUGGAGGGGAUAGCGGAAUUCCUGGUGUAGCGGUGAAAUGCGUAGAUAUCAGGAGGAACACCGGUGGCGAAGGCGGCUAUCUGGACAGAGUCUGACGCUGAGGCGCGAAAGCUAGGGGAGCAAACAGG